rnacentral:rRNA from 1 species
AAAAAGUUUCGUAGGUGACCUGCGGAAGGACAUUA